rnacentral:rRNA from 1 species
CCUACGGGUGGCAGCAGUGAGGAAUAUUGGUCAAUGGGCGAGAGCCUGAACCAGCCAAGUCGCGUGAAGGAUGACGGCCCUACGGGUUGUAAACUUCUUUUGUCAGGGAGCAAUUGAGUCCACGUGUGGUCUUAGCGAGAGUACCUGAAGAAAAAGCAUCGGCUAACUCCGUGCCAGCAGCCGCGGUAAUACGGAGGAUGCGAGCGUUAUCCGGAUUUAUUGGGUUUAAAGGGUGCGUAGGCGGAAUAUCAAGUCAGCGGUAAAAAUUCGGGGCUCAACCCCGUCGUGCCGUUGAAACUGAUGUUGUGGAGUGGGCGAGAAGUAUGCGGAAUGCGUGGUGUAGCGGUGACAUGCAUAGAUAUCACGCAGAACUACGAUUGCGAAGGCAGCAUAGCGGCGCCCAACGGACGCGGAAGCACGAAAGCGUGGGUAUCGAACAGGAUUAGAUACCCUUGUAGUC